GAAGAAGAAGAAGAAGAAGAACUAACCGUUUACGUCAAAGCUCGUCUCUGCCACUGCACUCGCUCCCAGAAGCUAGCUAGCUAAUCACCUCGAGACGGACGGUGGAAUCAAAAGUAGUGACAAGAAGAUGGCGGAGUGAUUGGGUUGCGCUUUGAAGGAAAGCAGCGACCCUUGAUUGUCCUAAAAUAUUCUACGAAGAAAGGAGAAUCACAUCCAAAUUGUAGCUAUCUUCGGAAAUUUGACAAACAAGAAGAAUAUUGCCCCUCUUGCGGAGGUGGUUCAAACAGAUCGAACGGAAUUUCGCAGUUCCACUGGUGUCCGAUAGCUCUAGUGGGCUAACGUUCGGUAGCUACCCCGAGGCACUGGGCGACGGACAUACUAGGCACAUUAGGAGUGUUUUCAGAAGAAUCGUGUUCCCUUUUUCGUGAUGUGUUGGUUUUAUUUUUUCCAAGAUUUUUUACUAGCUAGCUAGCGAAUAACGCCUGAAAAGAAACACUGUUCUAGCUAGCUGGCUAACGUUACAUUGUUUCAAGUACAUCGCCCACGAGCAGCCAGGACUUCUGUGUAUGUUCUGAUACGAGCUGGCCGAGAAGGGAAACCGACGGCGCAGUCCCAGAAAAUCCUAUUUUAAACUAAUCAGGAGUUGCUCGUGAUUGAGGAUAUGGCAAGCAGCAGCGGCUCUAAAGCCGAAUUUAUUGUCGGUGGGAAAUACAAGCUUGUCAGAAAAAUUGGAUCUGGGUCAUUUGGUGACAUAUACCUCGCGAUCAACAUCACAAAUGGAGAGGAGGUAGCUGUAAAAUUGGAAUCUCAGAAAGCCAGACACCCACAGUUGUUAUAUGAAAGCAAACUGUACAAAAUCUUACAAGGAGGAGUUGGAAUCCCACACAUAAGGUGGUAUGGCCAAGAAAAGGACUACAAUGUCCUAGUGAUGGACCUGCUGGGACCCAGUCUGGAAGACCUCUUCAACUUCUGCUCGCGCCGGUUCACCAUGAAAACUGUACUAAUGCUCGCAGACCAAAUGAUCAGCAGAAUCGAGUAUGUGCACACAAAGAACUUCAUUCACAGAGAUAUCAAGCCAGACAACUUUUUAAUGGGUAUUGGCCGUCACUGUAACAAGUGUUUAGAAUCUCCAGUGGGGAAGAGGAAAAGAAGCUUGGCUGUUAGUUCUUCUCAGGACCCAUCUUUCUCAGGAUUAAACCAGUUGUUCCUCAUUGACUUUGGUCUGGCCAAAAAAUACCGGGACAACCGGACACGACAGCACAUACCCUACAGAGAAGACAAAAAUCUCACAGGCACAGCUCGCUAUGCCAGCAUCAACGCACAUCUGGGAAUCGAGCAGAGUCGCCGAGAUGACAUGGAGUCGCUAGGAUACGUCCUGAUGUAUUUCAACAGAACCAGCCUGCCCUGGCAGGGACUAAAGGUAGGCCAGGCUGCCACAAAGAAACAGAAGUACGAGAAGAUUAGCGAGAAGAAGAUGUCGACUCCGGUCGAGGUGUUGUGUAAGGGUUUUCCCGCAGAGUUUGCCAUGUACCUGAACUACUGCCGUGGGCUGCGGUUUGAGGAGGCGCCUGACUACAUGUACCUGCGUCAGCUGUUCCGCAUUCUCUUCAGGACCCUGAACCACCAGUACGACUACACGUUUGACUGGACAAUGCUGAAGCAGAAAGCAGCACAGCAGGCCGCGUCCUCAGGGGGACAGGGGCAACAGGCACAAACCCCUACAGGCAAGCAAACUGACAAACCCAAGAGUAACAUGAAAGUCGCCCCCCUCCCUCUCGUAGAGGGUAUCCCGGGUGCCCAGGGUUGAUGGUGGAGGAGUCAAACCAAUUUUUCAAAAAACCUGAAGCUGUUUUCAUCAGGUUUCUGAGCAGUAAGACAAAGAAAUGAAGACGAGUGGCCGUAGCAGGAUUUGCCUUCCAAUCACAUCCCGGCAUCCAGGAUCAAAUUCACCAGAACCUGCCAGGCAUUGUGGGCAACCCUUUUUUCCUGUUAAAGAACUUUCGUUCCAUAUACUAUAUAUGUAAUUGCUCUAUAUAGAUAAAAUGCUCUGCAUAUAUCUAUAUAUUGGUAUGUAUAUACUAUAUCCACAUAGAAAGCCGGCUUGGUAUGGAAUUUUCCGAAGCUGUAGCCUUCUCUAUUGUCCUGUCCCUGAAGAUUUUUUUUUUGUGUGUGUUUCUUCAAAACUGAAAAUAAGACAUGGUUGGCUCACUGCGGAUGUUAUUGUGCACAUGCCAAUACUUUCCCCUUGAUACUUUCUCCCUCUGAGAGCUGCUGCUCGGGUGCCUGCCUCACCUCAUGGCCCCCUGUCAGAGCAGCUUUGUCCCCAUUCCCUCAGUCACCGAGCGUGGCACGAUGACCCAGACACACGUCAGUCAGAUUGAACAUUUGAAACGACAAUUUUCUCUUCCUUAUUCAACUUUUCCCCCUCAUUUUCAAGCAAAAUGAAAGAUGUAAACGGAAACUUUUCUUUGUUAUGAAUGAAUCCUGGGUAUUUACUAAGCAAACAUUGGAUUUAUUUAGUUUCUUUUCAUAAAAAGGGUAAUUAAGAUUCUGCCUGCUGAAAUGUGCUAGAAGAGCUUCAAAUGUGAAGAUGAAAACAAUUCUAGUGACUACUAGGUUUCUCUUUAGAACGCUGCGUUAACUAUAUUGUACUUGGUAUUCUGAAAUCUCAAACAAUGAAUAAAAAAGAUAAAUUCCACAAAAGCAUAUUCAUUAUAAAUUAGGCACCACUUGACUAAACCUGUUUGGAAAUUGCUUAUAAACAAAAUUACGCAUCAAUUAUUUUUAUUUUUGGAGAUGUUGAUGUCAAUCGACAAAUGUCAUUUUUUUUCUCUCCAUUUUUUAUUGAGUUGCUAUGAUGGAUGGCAUCAAUGUUCUGUUUUUUGAGACAAAUCUCACACCACCCACCCUUCCGUUAUCAUUUUUAUAUACAUACAUAUAUAUAUACACUUUUUUUUAAAGAAUCAGAUAACCUACUUUUUUUUUCUCAGUUUUAUGGAGUUGUCUUUCCCUGUAUUGAAUUGAUCAUUUGGGGAAAGGGUGUUUUUGUUUCUUCCUGCGAUGAAGCAGAUCCUCUUGUAAAAUAUUCUCUCUCUGCAACUAAACUUCGCUGCUGCAUAGAGUAGCGACCUUUUCCUCAUUUUCGUUCCUUUUUUAUUGCAAAGAAAGUUUGAGGGUUUCAUUUCUGUAUACUUUGUCGUGUGAGGGAAGAAUAAUUUGGAUUUCUCUCAGCCUUUAGUCAAGACAGAUGCACACUAGUAACUGUUUCUCCCCCUCCCUAUUACUCCCCCUGACCCAGCUUUAGCUAUUUUACAGCUGGACAUUCUAUAAAAGUGUAAUUUAUUCCCUUUAGCAUGUCAGAAUAAAUUUAAAUGACUUGUCAGAA